CCCGUAGCAGCAUCAGCACCUCACAAAGGGCUCUUACUGGGUGUCUGCGGCCGCCCCUACGACUCUGCGUUUCGCCUCCCAGCUCUGUUCUGCCCGCCCCAGUCUGUUCCGGAGCCUGCAGGCGGCUGUGAACCAGAGAAUUAAUUCUUCAGGCGGGCUUUUCCAGCGGCGGCUGGGCGGGGCCUGGUAGCCGGAGGGACACGUGUGUGGGGGAAGCAGGAAGUGACUUCGGGAGUGGAGCCGGUGGAGCGAGCGGCGGCGGGGGCUGAUGGAAGUGGAGUGGGGGCUGGAGAGGGCACCCUACUGUAUCCAGGAUGCUCCAAGGUCACAGCACUGUGUUCCAGGCCUUGCUGGGGACCUUCUUCACCUGGGGAAUGACGGCAGCCGGCGCAGCUCUUGUGUUCAUAUUCUCUAGUGGACAGAGGCGAAUCCUGGACGGAAGCCUUGGCUUUGCUGCAGGGGUCAUGUUAGCAGCCUCUUACUGGUCUCUCCUGGCCCCAGCAGUUGAGAUGGCCACGUCCUCAGGGGGCUUUGGUGCUUUUGCCUUCAUCCCAGUGGCUGUUGGCUUCACCCUUGGGGCUGCUUUCGUCUACCUGGCCGACCUCCUGAUGCCUCACUUGGGUGCAGCGGAAGACCCCCAGAUGGCCCUGGCACUGAACUUAGACUCCACGUUGACGAAGAAGAAGUCAGAUUCCGAGGGCCCAGUUCUGCUGUUCCCCGAGAGCGAGCUCUCCAUCCGGAUAGGUAGCGCUGGGCAGCUUUCAGACAAGAGUGAGAACGGCGAGGCAUACCAGAGGAGGAAGGCGGUGGCUGGCGGCCCCCUAGAGGGCCCUGCUCCCCUGGCACCUUCUCGAGGGCACCUGGCACAGCCCAGCGGCAGCAGCUGGAGGAGAAUCAUGCUGCUUAUCCUGGCCAUCACCAUACACAACAUCCCAGAGGGUCUCGCUGUUGGAGUGGGCUUUGGGGCUGUAGAAAAGACAAUGUCAGCCACCUUCGAGAGUGCCAGUGUACGCAAGAGAGACCAUCCCAGGAUCGGUGUCAGAAUGGAUGUCCACGGGACCCCUCAUUCUCUGAGUAGAAGAGCCUGCAUUCCAGCUGUCCUGCCUGAAGCCUGCAUAAAUAAGGAAAGUAAACAAGCUCCCCCAUGGGGACCUACCUAAGAUUUGGUGAAGUCUGUUCCUCUGCCAAUUAAGACCCCCAUGUCUGGGCACCCCAUUCUCAGCAAAGCCAGUGGGAGGGCUGGGCACCUCCUCAACCCCUGGCUAUGCCUCCAAUUGCCGUUGCAGCUGGGAAUCCCAGCUUCUCUGCCUCUCUGUCCCCUCCCCCGGCCCCUCGAGCUCUCGGAAUGUGGCACACAUCAGUCCAGCCCACUGAAUGACCAAGGACCCGGCCCUGUCCUCUGGGAUCGGCCAGGCAGGGAGGAGGGUAUGACAAGCUCACUGUAUUUUUCUGUCUAGGGCCAAACAGCCAAGAGCCAACGUUACAGGUUUGGUGGCAGCUUUUCAGCUCUACCCUCUAGCUGAGGAGCAGUGGUAGGUAAACAGUACAGAAACAGAUGGGUGUGGCUGGGCUUCUAUUUACAGAAACAGGACAGGUGAGAUUUGGGCCUCAGGCCACAGUUUGCUAACUCUUGUUAUAGGCAGCAGGGAGCUAUGGAUUGUUCUCAAAUAGAAGAAUGGCAUUGCUGUUUCUGAGGAAGGAAAGAUGAUUGUGGCAGUCACAGACCUCAGGGACAGUUGUGUCCUUUACAUUGGCUUUCAGAUGGCUUUUGGACUCUACUGCUGAGAACACAAUGGUUUUCCCAAGAUAAUAGCACAUCUGCCACAUUGCUGCAAAGCAAGAUGCUUUCUUCUCUAGGACCACCCAAGGAAAGGAGCAUUUAUUGAUCUAAUUUUUAAAUAUAAUAUUUUAAGAAAGUUUAAAGGCUUUGAAGCUCCAGGCUGGGACCCACCUAGUAUUGAGGCAGUCGCCUGGGUAGAGAGCAUGCAGCUCUGCCAAUUUCAACCUCUGUUUUGAUUAAAGAUGGCAGAGAGAGGCAGUUUCUUGGACCAAGGGCUCUCUGGAGGUCAGUGGCACACACAGCUUUGGAGAGAGGAGGCCCAUGAGCAGCUUGAUCUCGAAGCAAAGCACUCAGACGUCUUCCUGGGGCAAGAGGGCAAUUGGAGAGGGGUAGGCUUAGUCGCCCUACGUGGGCGGGUGCCUCUGAACCCCAGUGCUGGUGUUUCCCCUCUUCACUUUCCGUUUUCAUCUUGGGAGUCUGAUUUCACAUUGAUCCAGAUGUUUGGUUUAUAAUGAAGAUACUUGGCAUGGGAUAAAAGCUGCGGAAUGUUGACAGAAUUUAAUACUCUUCCAGGGCUGGGUGGACCGAAGCUGUGUGUAAUAUUAGCGCUUUCUGGCAAGUGGACCUCAUCUAGGAGAGGGAGCCUGGUGUGUCUGGAGCCUGGUUCAGAUGAGAGCAAGUGUUGUAGACAGGGCUGCCGCAGAGACGUGGCCACGCCGCUCAAUGCCGCCCUCUCCAUUCUUCCUGUUCUCUUCUGCUCCCAUACGCACAAGCAUUUCAUAGACAUUGACAUCAACAUGGGUCACGCUUCCAUUUUUCUCUCUGUUCUCACCCCCAGCCCAUCUCAUCAUCUUAGGAUUCCAGCAGUUUAGCAAAAUGCACUCAGCAUAAACAGAUGGACUUGACGCAGGCAGUGCGUGGAUCAUAACGCCCAGCCCCCCCCACCCGCCAGCUUCAGUUCAGCAGGAGAGGCCUGGUUCCUGCCGCCUGAGCUCUUGAGGACAGAGGUCGCACUUCCCAUUUAGCACAGUUGACCUAACUUUUACGUCAUCAUGGUUUUUGUUUUGUUUUGUUUUGGUGGUGGUGCUGGGGAUCCAGCUCAGUGCCUAGUGCACACUGGGCAAGCACUCUCAACCCCCUAGAACCCAUGCAUGUGCAAGGUCCCUGAAGGUUUUGGAGAGAACACUCAUGGAAAAAAGAUCACACAUGGAUGUGAGUCAAGUGCACUCAGGAGUUUUAUUCAUAUUUAGUUUCCAGUUGUGAAUAAUGUGUCCAAUCCAUGAGUCCAGUGUUAAUGGAAUUAAUCUUGAACAUCUGACAUGAUUUAACACAUCGUUUCCCAUUGCAAACAUCUUUUGAUCUAGCCACCAGGAGUUUAGCUAAAACACUAGAAUGAGGACAGAAAUUUCAACUCUUGCAUUUUGGGCACAAAAAGUGAGUGUUGACUAAGUAACCCCCGAGGGUAUGGAUGAACCUGAGUUUGCUAGAAGGGUGCCCUGCACUGGCUAACCAUUAUUUUCAAAAGUAAUUUGGAGGAGACCCAGGGAUAUAGGUGUAUGGAGGAUACCUAGGACCUAGGGCAGUCCUGUCAUUGUUCAUGGAAUGAAGCGGGUACAGCAGCUUGGGUCUUCUAAUCCAUACUCACCAGUUGACACCAAUCCCUUCCUCUAAGGUCCUAUUUCUUCCUUUGGUCUGUCUGAAGCCUCCUUAUGCCCUGUAGGAGGUAACUUGGAUUCUAGAGGCCACUGGGAGCAGCUUCUACCCUAACUACUUUCUCCCAUUGCCAGAAGAGGUCCCCUUACACUUGGGAUGACACUGGGAACUCCCAAAGGUACAUCCUUCAGUGCCAGGACCUAGCCCUCAGAGGGGCCAUUUGUCCUGAGGGGAGGGCAAGCUUCAGACGUGUGUGUUGGGCUGGCAGCCACUGAUUGGCCUGGCCUGGGACAAGGUGGUUGUCCUGGUUGAAAUAGUAGCCUUGCCUUCCUGGAAAAUAUGACCAUCUUCCCUCUCCUGCAGUCCCUUGGCCCCUGGGCCCUCUCCUAGCCUGGCCACACUUCCAUCCCUGAUAGUGGUGACACUGCAUACUUCUCCCAGGCUCUUCACUCAGGUGUCUUGUUCCACUGGGCUCCUACAAAGCAUAGCUUCCCCAUUCAGGAGGCAGAAACAGGCGUGAACAGGCCUGGGGCAGAUUUGCAGCAUGAAAGCACACUGGUCUUCCCUCAAAUACACAGUUGACCAGCCUAGAGCACUUGACAGUCACCCCCAUGUGGCCUCCAAAGCUUCCAGGCUCUCCCUUCCUCCCUUCAGUUAGAGCUGUGCACCCUUACAUGUGAAGCGACCUCUGACAGCACUGGCCCACAUCUCUGGAGGAUGUGGCCUUGGAGAUGCUUAGCUUCACACAGCCUCAGUUUCUGCUGGGGUACAAUGAGAAUAAUUAUACCUGCGGGCUUGGCAUUCUGUCGCUCAGCAGAGACAGCUGCUGCCUUUGAUAUACAGGCCUCAUCAUUAUUAGCCUUCAGAUCUUCUGCAGUCCAGCCCUCGUUCUCAGGGGGCUGUCUGCCCCAUGGCUGUGGAGCUUUGCGUUUUCAGCCUCGUCUGCAGACUGUCUCCUGUGGAGCUCUCAAGUUUCCAUAGUGGGGGCGAGGAACACAGCUCUGCACCCAUCUGUUUUCAAUGUUGUGCUCCUCUCGAAGGCUGCAUUUGAAGAAAAGGAUUCCCCUGCCUCAUUCAUUGGGAAUGGAGAUUUUCUAGAAGCCCCCCGAGAGUCCAUUUCUUUGUCUAGCAAGGCUGGCUUGUCUGGCCCUCAGCAAUGGGAUGGAUGCCUGUCCAUCUCCUCCUUUAAGACCUGGUGGCCAAGGGAUGGGGCCUAAUGACCUGUGUGUGUGGAGGUAGAGACUGUUGUGCCCCUGAUUCAAAGGAAUUCAAAUUUAAAUUUCUUUAGCUGCAAGCAAAAUCCCUUCAGUAGACAAAUCUGCUGACUGUUCGUCUCUUUUAAGUGACCCUUUAUAAACUUGAGGGCUUGCCUUGAUUUCUGUCUAGGGGACACAAGCUGGGGCCAGCAUCCUUUGAGCACAGCAUGGGAAGUGAUAAGUGGAUGCCUGGCCCUGGGACCCAACCUCCUCACUGGACAGAAGCACCCAGGCACAGAUGCUAGGAGGAAGCUCUGCCUGCCAGGCAGAUCCAGGGUCAGGAGCGAAGGACCCCAGAAAAGCCACGUUCCACUAGCCUCCCCAUCACCAGCCAUGAUCAACACUUCCUCCUACUUCUGUGACAAGGCUCUGCACAUGAAGGUCCCUUGGCCUCUGUGGUCCUCUACACCUUGCCCAGACAGCUUCCCUAUGGAAGAACCCCAGAUGGAAACUGGUUUCCCCUCAUUGAAUUCCAGCUGCUCCUGCCUUUCCUGACAUGGCAGUCUCCCUGGGAGUUCAUGGUGCUUCUCUUUGUCAGUACCCCUCCAAUCUGGAGCGACGAGAGGGAAUUUGGCCAUUGGAAUUGGAAUCCAGAACUUCCCAGAGGGCCUGGCUGUCAGCCUCCCUUU